AUUGAACGCUGGCGGCAGGCUUAACACAUGCAAGUCGAACGAGCGGCGGACGGGUGAGUAAUGUCUGGGAAACUGCCUGAUGGAGGGGGAUAACUACUGGAAACGGUAGCUAAUACCGCAUACCAUCAGAUGUGCCCAGAUGGGAUUAGCUAGUCGGUGGGGUAACGGCUCACCUAGGCGACGAUCCCUAGCUGGUCUGAGAGGAUGACCAGCCACACUGGAACUAAGCGACGGUCCAGACUCCUACGGGGGGAAGCAGUGGGGAAUAUUGCACAAUGGGCGCAAGCCUGAUGCAGCCAUGCCGCGUGUAUGAAGAAGGCCUUCGGGUUGUAAAACACUUUCAGCGGGGAGGCGUUACACGCAGAAGAAGCACCAGCUAACUCCGUGCCAGCCGCCGCGGUAAUAC
rnacentral:rRNA from 1 species